rnacentral:rRNA from 1 species
UACAGAGGUCCCGAGCGUUGUUCGGAUUCACUGGGCGUAAAGGGUGCGUAGGUGGCGUGGUAAGUUUGAUGUGAAAGCUCAGGGCUUAACCCUGAAAUGGCAUUGAAUACUACUGUGCUGGAGGUUUGGAGGGGGGACUGGAAUUCUUGGUGUAGCAGUGAAAUGCGUAGAUAUCAAGAGGAACACCAGUGGCGAAGGCGGUUCUCUGGGCAUGAUCUGACGCUGAGGAGCGAAAGUGUGGGGAGCGAACAGG